AUGUUCACGCAUGUAGUUGAAACAAAUCAACAUAGCCUUCAUGAUAUUCAUGUUCAUGGUGGAUUAUAUCCUACUCAUGCUUAUACUCGGUGUGAAUUAGUUUUAAUGCAUGUUUAUGACUGUUGUCGCUCUCUCAGUUGGUCGCUUCCCAGUCUUUUGCUAGCCUUCACCUAUACUAAGCGGGAAUACUGCUUGUGCAUCCAAACUCCUAAAACCCCAAAGUUAUUCCAUAUGAGUCCACCAUACCUUCCUAUAUGCGGUAUUUACCUGUCAUUCCAAGUAAAUUUGUAUGUGCCAAACUCCAAACCUUCAAAUGAAAUUCUGUUUUGUAUGCUCGAGCGGCUCAUGUUUCAGCUAGGGCUGCCUAUAUAUUCCAUGCUAGGUGGGUUAUUCUCAGUAGGAGUGGACUCCGCUCCUCAUUCACGAGAAAGGGCCGGUAACCGGGAUGCCCAGUCCCAUGAUCCAAAAAGAUCAAAGCAAAUAAAUAUAAUUAAACAAAACUCCCCCAGGAUUGUUGUUAGUUGGAGGCACUCGUUGUUUCGAGCAAGCCAAGGAUUGAUGCUUGUUGGUGGUGGGGGAGUAUAA
rnacentral:rRNA from 1 species